rnacentral:rRNA from 1 species
CCUACGGGAGGCAGCAGUGGGGAAUAUUGCACAAUGGGGGAAACCCUGAUGCAGCGACGCCGCGUGAGUGAAGAAGUAACUCGUUAUGUAAAGCUCUAUCAGUAGGGAAGAAAAUGACGGUACCUGAGUAAGAAGCCCCGGCUAACUACGUUCCAGCAGCCGCGGUAAUACGUAGGGGGCAAGCGUUAUCCGGAUUUACUGGGUGUAAAGGGAGCGUAGACGGCUGUGCAAGUCUGGAGUGAAAGGCGGGGGCUCAACCCCCGGACUGCUCUGGAAACUGUACGGCUGGAGUGCAGGAGAGGUACGUGGAAUUCCUGGUGUAGCGGUGAAAUGCGUAGAUAUUAGGAGGAACACCAGUGGCGAAGGCGGCUUACUGGACUGUAACUGACGUUGAGGCACGAAAGCGUGGGGAGCGAACAGGAUUAGAUACCCCGGUAGUC